ACGCUAGCUACAGGCUUAACACAUGCAAGUCGAGGGCAGCGGGUUGAAAGCUUGCUUUCAAUGCCGGCGACCGGCGCACGGGUGCGUAACGCGUAUCAAACCUGCCUCAUACUCGGGGAUAGCCCUGCGAAAGUAAGAUUAAUACCCGAUGUUGUUGCUUUCUCGCAUGGGAGAGUAACCAAAGAUUUAUCGGUAUGAGAUGGUGAUGCGUCCGAUUAGGUAGUAGGCGGGGUAACGGCCCACCUAGCCUUCGAUCGGUAGGGGUUCUGAGAGGAAGGUCCCCCACACUGGAACUGAGACACGGUCCAGACUCCUACGGGAGGCAGCAGUGAGGAAUAUUGGUCAAUGGGCGAGAGCCUGAACCAGCCAAGUAGCGUGCAGGAUGACGGCCCUCCGGGUUGUAAACUGCUUUUAGUUGGGAAUAAAAAAAGGGACUUGUCCCUUCUUGUAUGUACCUUCAGAAAAAGGACCGGCUAAUUCCGUGCCAGCAGCCGCGGUAAUACGGAAGGUCCAGGCGUUAUCCGGAUUUAUUGGGUUUAAAGGGAGCGUAGGCGGAUUGUUAAGUCAGCGGUUAAAGGGUGUGGCUCAACCAUGCAUUGCCGUUGAAACUGGCGAUCUUGAGUGCAGACAGGGAUGCCGGAAUUCGUGGUGUAGCGGUGAAAUGCUUAGAUAUCACGAAGAACUCCGAUCGCGAAGGCAGGUGUCCGGGCUGCAACUGACGCUGAGGCUCGAAAGUGUGGGUAUCAAACAGGAUUAAAUACCCUGGUAGUCCACACAGUAAACGAUGUAUACUCGCGGUUUGCGAUAGACAGUAAGCCGCCAAGCGAAAGCAUUAAGUAUACCACCUGGGGAGUACGCCGGCAACGGUGAAACUCAAAGGAAUUGACGGGGGCCCGCACAAGCGGAG
rnacentral:rRNA from 1 species